rnacentral:piRNA from 1 species
UGCACUUUUGCGGUAGUGGGUUCCUGUAU